UACAUGCCAAGCAUUGUCUGGAACAAGGAAUGGUUGAGAAGGAUUGGAUUAAGCAGGCAAAUGUUUUGGUUUCUUAUCUUCCUUUAUAAGUUAUUAUUUUUCUGUGUUUAUUUUGUUUUGGGCUGGGAAGAAGGGGCAGUGGAAUAGGUCACUUAAAGAGGUGUUUUCUUCAAUGCAGUUGAUUGUAUAUUUGUAUAUGAUGUUAUGCUUUGUAUAAAUAGGUCCGGCCCUUUGAGAUUGUAUAAUUUUUUCUAGAUUUACUGGUGAUUUUUGUAGAUUGACAGCAAGAUUUUUUGACUCUGGUGACAGUAAAGGUUUAAGCAGAAACAGUACAGUGUACGUUCGUAACUACCACAUUAGCCACCACCAUGAGCACCCCCCCAAUGCUUUUGGAGGGUAAAAAUGUUGCACAGCCAUGAAGAUGGGGGAGGCAGAGUCACUGGUUUAUUCCAUUUGGUUUAAAAUCUUGGCAAGGAGGUUGAACACUCUCAGUGUAAGAAGUUAGAUCCGCAAUCAAGGACCCAGCAACAAGGCAUUGGCUCUGUCAAUGCUUUUCAACAUGUUGCUCCCCACUUUUCCGGUAUAAAUACUAUCUCCACUAGUUUAUUAGGGAUGUCAAUUUUAAUUUUCUAACAAUGUACCUACUA